rnacentral:tRNA from 1 species
GGGUGAGUAGCUCAGCAGGUAGAGCAACGCACUUUUAAUGCGUAGGUCUUGGGUUCGAAUCCCAACACUCUCA